UACGUAGGGGGGCAAGCGUUUGUCCGGAAUCAUUGGGCGUAAAGAGCGUGUAGGCGGCUUGGUAAGUCCGCUGUGAAAGUCCAGGGCUCAACCCUGGAAAGCCGGUGGAAACUGUCAAGCUUGAGUCCGGAAGAGGCGAGUGGAAUUCCUGGUGUAGCGGUGAAAUGCGCAGAUAUCAGGAGGAACACCAACAGCGAAGGCAGAUCUCUGGGACGUUACUGACGCUGAGACGCGAAAGCGUGGGUAGCGAACUGG
rnacentral:rRNA from 1 species